GCCCCCUCGCAUGAACAAAGAGACACCUUGGUGGUGGUGGUACUCUUCUAUAAGUCAGGAGUAGAGCAGAUAGCCAUCCUUUAUUUAUUCUAGCUUGAUGCCUGGCUUGGUGGCCAAAGCUGUCUUAUGCCUAUGACACAUAA